GGGGGAUUAGCUCAUUUGGCUAGAGCGUCCCGAUGGAAAAUCGGGAUGGUGAUAGUUCGAAUCGGAUAUUUUCCA
rnacentral:tRNA from 1 species